rnacentral:rRNA from 1 species
UACAGAGGUCCCGAGCGUUGUUCGGAUUCAUUGGGCGUAAAGGGUGCGUAGGUGGCGCUGUAAGUGGGGUGUGAAAUCCCGGGGCUUAACCCCGGGACUGCAUUCCAUACUGCGGUGCUUGAGGACUGGAGAGGAGACUGGAAUUCAUGGUGUAGCAGUGAAAUGCGUAGAGAUCAUGAGGAAGACCAGUGGCGAAGGCGGGUCUCUGGACAGUUCCUGACACUGAGACACGAAGGCCAGGGGAGCAAACGGG